UGCUAUGUGGUGUAGUGGUUUGAGCGUGACUGGAACUCUGAAGACCAGGGUUCGAUUCUCAGCUUGGCCA